UUAAAAUUGGAGUUGGGGAGAUUCGAAGGCUUCGAUGAAAGAUAGUCACCCCCCAUUUUUUUUUUUCAUUUUUCUUUGUUUUUGUUCAAAUUGAACGAAUCAUUAGUGUUUUGAUUUGAUUGGGUUCUGGAGUCUAUUUUGGGGGUAUCUGAGUCAACCCAUUGAGUUGGGUUUGGGUUGAUUCGAGGUGAGUCAACCCAUAAGAUGGGGUUGCCAGUUGAUUGAGGGUGAGUUAACUCACUGGGUGAGGGUUUGGUUUUGGUUCAGGGUGAGUCAACUCACCGAGUUAGGUUUUGGUUUUUUAGAAAUUGGACCCUAGGCCUUUUGUUUUUUUAAAAAAUGGCCGCAUGUUUAAAAAUGGGCCUGAGCCCUUUGUUCAAAAAAAAAAAAAAAAAAGGCCAGGUGUUUAAAAAAUGGGCCUAGGCCCUUUCAUUUAAAAAAUGAACAAUGAGCUUAAUUGAAAGAAAUGGGCUUGGCGCCCGUCAUUUUUUUUUUAAAAUGAAUUAUUAAAUUAAUAAUAAAAGAUACUUGAGAAUAAUGAAAAGAAAACCUAUAUGUUGUCUUCCCCUUCUUCAAUCAUUGGAUUAGGGCUAGUGAUGCUUUUUGACUUUUUCCCACAAUAUGUCUUUGUAUGCCUCUAAAUGAUUUAGCAUAUGAAUCCUUUGGUGAUUGCUAUUUCCUCUGCUACUCUACUUUAUAUUGCUCUACACUAUGAAUUGCUUGAUAUUGCUUUUCUGAUAUUAUCUCUUUGACUUUUUUCUGACUAUUACUCUUACCCGAUAUUCCUCCCUUCUCUGACAAUUGCUCUUACUUCAUAUUAUCUUUUUUUUUCCCUUUGAACCUCAAUUUAUAGGUUGAGGGAUGCAUUUAAUUUCAACCACUAAUCCUCCAUUAACUACUGCUCAAUUUCCUUUGUGCAGGCGUGCAAGCAAUGUUCCAAGACUCAUGUCUUCUAUUUAUUUGCAUUUAUUUUUAUUAUAUUGUAUUUCAAUUUUUUUUUUAUUUGUUCACUCUAUAAGUCCAAUCCAGUUUUGAUAAUGACAAAUCACUUGGUAUUUGAUCUGUGUAUUGAGAUUGUGAACAUGAAUAAUGUUGACCGUAUUGGUCACGUCUGGUUUUGAUUAUGAUAAAUACUCAUUGUAUCUAAUGAGUGUUUGAGAUUUUGUGCAGGAACUAAGGGUGAUAAGAUCAAGAUGCGCACAAAGCAAGAAAAACUUGAAGACCAAAUCAUAUUCAUUGUAAUAUAUUUAUAUUGGUCUGUAAUAGUAAGUAGGUAUUGGGUUUGUAAUAAGCUCACACACAUCACAUGUAUGAUUUACUAUAUAAGCUAAAACCAAACCAUGAAUGAGAAAGGACCUUAGAAAGACCUUAGGGUGUACCCCUCGGUCGACCGACACCGGACUUUUUCGGUGUCUUCAAUUUGGACCUCAAGUGCCCAUAGGAAACACACAUUUACACAUAUGUUUGUUAGGCACUUGAAUAGGACUUGUUUGGUUCAAUACAGGACCGAAAUGCACACUUGGUGCACUUUUGGUUGACCGGCCAACACAGUUCAAUUUGGCCUGGUCGACCGAGCCGGCCUUGGGUCAACAGUUUGACCAAGGCCCGGUCGACCGAACUUCAUAGUUCAUUUCUUGCCGGUCGACCGAACCACAUGAAAGUCAACAUUUUGACCUCUCGGUCGACCGACCACUUUUGUACUCCAACUACCUGGUUGACCGGAGGGUCCUCGGGAAAAUUCCCAGCGGUCUGGUCGACCGAACCAUGCAGUUCAGAAAGGCCCGGUCGACCGAACCUCAAAAAUUUGAAAAAUCACCUUGCCCCGGUCGACUGACCAUUCAGUUCAAAAGUCCUCUAGUCGACCGAGCCAUUUGAG